CAAAUGCUAACUUGGGAAGUUCAAACUCCUAAGCAAGAAAGUACUCCAACGUGAGGCUCUUUUCUCACAUAAAAUACCAUUUUUGCUCUUUCCCUCAGAGUCCACUAUUGACCACGGACUGAGCUGGAAUUCUGGGACAAACAGGCCUCUUGAUCAAGCUGUUGUUGAUCUUGUGGUGAUACCAGAAACUGAAGUCACCUAGAAAUCUCAGAAGAGUCACCUGGGGUUUUUCACACUUCCCAAGAAACAUCUGAGAUACAGUGAAACUCCAAAAGAACUUCUCAUCAUGCUUUCACUUGUUCAGAUGCAGAUCCAGCUGAAGAACAGAGCUUAGAAAGCAAUUGCUACAGAGAACAUAUGAGGGCAGCCAUCACAGAGGGAGAAAAGGAAGCACCUGGGAGAACCCAGAAACCAAAAGCACACUCAACAUGAUGGGCAAUCAUGCUAUAUACCAGAAUCCUGUUGCCUUGCAGUAUUAG